rnacentral:rRNA from 1 species
GAUGAACGCUGGCGGCGUGCCUAAUACAUGCAAGUCGAGCGAACAGACGAGGAGCUUUCUCCUCUGACGUUAGCGGCGGACGGGUGAGUAACACGUGGAUAACCUACCUAUAAGACUGGGAUAACUUCGGGAACCGGCGCUCACACCGGAUAAUAUCUUGAACCGCAUGGUUCCAUAGUGAAAUACGGUUUUGCUGUAACUUAUAGAUGGAUCCGCGCCGCAUUAGCUAGUUGGUAAGGUAACGGCUUACCAAGGCAACGAUGCGUAGCCGACCUGAGAGGGUGAUCAGCCACACUGGAACUGAGACACGGUCCAGACUCCUACGGGAGGCAGCAGUAGGGAAUCUUCCGCAAUGGGCGAAAGCCUGACGGAGCAACGCCGCGUGAGUGAUGAAGGUCUUCGGAUCGUAAAACUCUGUUAUUAGGGAAGAACAAAUGUGUAAGUAACUAUGCACGUCUUGACGGUACCUAAUCAGAAAGCCACGGCUAACUACGUG